rnacentral:rRNA from 1 species
GAUGAACGCUAGCGGCAGGCUUAAUACAUGCAAGUCGAGGGGCAGCACAGGUAGCAAUACUGGGUGGCGACCGGCAAACGGGUGCGGAACACGUACACAACUUACCUUAGAGUGGGGGAUAGCCCAGGGAAACUUGGAUUAAUACCCCAUAAAACAGGGGGCCCGCAUGGGCAUAUUGUUAAGGAUUUAUCGCUUUAAGAUGGGUGUGCGUAUGAUUAGGUAGUUGGUAGGGUAAAGGCCUACCAAGCCGACGAUCAUUAACUGGUGUGAGAGCACGACCAGUCACACGGGCACUGAGACACGGGCCCGACUCCUACGGGAGGCAGCAGUAAGGAAUAUUGGUCAAUGGACGGAAGUCUGAACCAGCCAUGCCGCGUGAAGGAUGAAGGUCCUCUGGAUUGUAAACUUCUUUUAUAGGGGGCGAAAAAGGGCCAUUCUUGGUCAACUGACGGUACCCUAUGAAUAAGCACCGGCUAACUCCGUGCCAGCCGCCGCUGUAACAC